UGGGACUGAGACACGGCCCAGACUCCUACGGGAGGCAGCAGUAGGGAAUCUUCCGCAAUGGACGAAAGUCUGACGGAGCAACGCCGCGUGAGUGAUGAAGGCUUUCGGGUCGUAAAACUCUGUUGUUAGGGAAGAACAAGUGCUAGUUGAAUAAGCUGGCACCUKGACGGUACCUAACCAGAAAGCCACGGCUAACUACGUGCCAGCAGCCGCGGUAAUACGUAGGUGGCAAGCGUUAUCCGGAAUUAUUGGGCGUAAAGCGCGCGCAGGUGGUUUCUUAAGUCUGAUGUGAAAGCCCACGGCUCAACCGUGGAGGGUCAUUGGAAACUGGGAGACUUGAGUGCAGAAGAGGAAAGUGGAAUUCCAUGUGUAGCGGUGAAAUGCGUAGAGAUAUGGAGGAAC
rnacentral:rRNA from 1 species